CAUCGGUCGACAUCAUCCCUAUGGUGGCCCGUCGGUCGACAUCGUCCCUAUGGUGGCCCACCUGUCUGGUGCGGACAGUGGGCUGCAUUGGAGAUUGAAUUGGGGGAGAUUCUCGCCCUUUUCAUAUCCACGAUGGGGACUUUUUAGUCCCAAUGACCAAGAAGAUUACGUUUUCCAUCACUCAAAACUUGUAAAGUUAGUGGAUGUGGAGGAUUCGGAGAUCCUAUCUAUCAGACCCUCCGUGGAUGGCCGCAUCUUUGGCGGUUCUGCCUGACUUUUCGGUAAUCUACAGGUUAUCCGUCGUAGUAGUGAGUACGUUUCAUCCCUCUGGGGACCACCACUAGUGUAGAACAGCCUCUAGUCGUCUCGAUCCUUUACGGACGAGAUGGAAGGUGGUAGUGACAUCACCAUACACAGC
rnacentral:lncRNA from 1 species